rnacentral:rRNA from 1 species
AACUUUCAACAACGGAUCUCUUGGCUCUCGCAUCGAUGAAGAACGCAGCGAAAUGCGAUAAGUAAUGUGAAUUGCAGAAUUCAGUGAAUCAUCGAAUCUUUGAACGCACCUUGCGCCCCUUGGCAUUCCGGGGGGCAUGCCUGUUUGAGUGUCACGUUA